rnacentral:tRNA from 1 species
GCGCGCGUGGCGGAAUUGGUAGACGCGCUAGGUUGAGGGCCUAGUGGGAUUAAAUUCUCGUGGAGGUUCAAAUCCUCUCGCGCGCA